rnacentral:rRNA from 1 species
AAAAAGCUCGUAGUCGAAAUUGUGUCCUCGGCCGCCGGUUCGUCGCUCGCGACGCCAACUGGCGCGCACGCUGGACGUCCAGCCGGUACUACGAACUCGCCUACGGGGUGCUCUUAACCGAGUGUCCAGGCGGGGGCCGGCAACGUUACUUUGAACAAAUUAAAGUGCUUAAAGCAGGCUAAAUUGCGCUCGCAUACACGCGCAUGGAAUAAUCGAAUAGGACCUCCGUUCUAUUUUGUUGGGUUUUUGUGGAACGACAGACGGAGGUAAUGAUCAAUGGGUGCGGAUGGGGGCAUUCGUAUUGCGACGUUAGAGGUGAAAUUCUUGGAUCGUCGCAAGACGGACUUAAGCGAAAGCAUUUGCCAAAAACGCUUUCAUCGAUCAAGAACGAAAGUUAGAGGUUCGAAGGCGAUCAGAUACCGCCCUAGUUCUAACCAUAAACUAUGCCAGCUAGCGAUCCGCCGACGUUACUUCUAUGACUCGGCGGGCAGCUUCCGGGAAACCAAAGCUUUCGGGUUCCGGGGGAAGUAUGGUUGCAAAGCUGAAACUUAAAGGAAUUGACGGAAGGGCACCACCAGGAGUGGAGCCUGCGGCUUAAUUUGACUCAACACGGGAAACCUCACCAGGCCCGGACACCGGAAGGAUUGACAGAUUGAGAGCUCUUUCUUGAUUCGGUGGGUGGUGGUGCAUGGCCGUUCUUAGUUGGUGGAGCGAUUUGUCUGGUUAAU